UACGUAGGGUGCAAGCGUUGUCCGGAAUUAUUGGGCGUAAAGAGCUCGUAGGCGGUUUGUCGCGUCUGCUGUGAAAAUCCAGGGCUUAACCCUGGACCUGCAGUGGGUACGGGCAGACUAGAGUGCGGUAGGGGAGAUCGGAAUUCCUGGUGUAGCGGUGAAAUGCGCAGGAUAUCAGGAGGAACACCGGUGGCGAAGGCGGAUCUCUGGGCCGUAACUGACGCUGAGGAGCGAAAGCAUGGGGAGGCGAACAGGA
rnacentral:rRNA from 1 species